AAUAUGCUAAUGAGGGGCGGUACCAUGCUAGUGAGGUGAUUCAUUCUCCACCAAUCCCUGGAGGACAAGUAGUGGGGUGAUAGUGGGAUGACAGUGGGGUGAUAGUGGGGUGACCCGUGCCCCGCCAAUCCCUGAAGGAUUAUUAGCAUACUGUUGUGUAUAUAAGGUGAACACUUUUGCCGCUGGAGGUCCCCGUAUCAGCAAUGAAGGUGUCCUGCAAUAAAGGCUGUUGACAAGGAUCUGACGGUGUUGCGUCUUCCUUGCCAGACGAGCUCAGUCUCCAGGUUCACUUUCCAACUGUUGCACAUCCCACAACUCCUUCUCCCCACCCCAUCUCCAAGAGGAAGUUCCCACCCUCACCUCACCCUCACCCCAUCAGACCUUCCUACUUCCUGGGGCCCCUAGUCUCUGAAGAAUUGUUCCUGUGUGAAGAACUUCAGGAACAAAAAUGGGGAAGAGCCUGAGGAAAAGUAGGUCCAGUGACAGACCCAAAGUGGGAUCCAGCUCAGAGGGAGGCCCCAAGGCCUGGCACUAUUACUGAUGCUAUGGUGUGCUUACAAAUAGGGGCCCAUCAUGAAUGCCCUCUGAAGGCCCAACAAGCAGCUGAAAGAGUCAGAUGGCAGAUAUUUACACCGAUAACUACCAAUCAGGCUGUUACUUGUGGAGAGCCUAAUUAAACUGUCAUUAAGACAAGAUUACUACAUCUGGGGAGAUGUGGGAGAUGCAUUUGGGAAGACCUUGAGAGAGGAGUAUUAAAACAACAACAAUAACAACAGCAACAACAACAACCGUAACAGCAGCAGUAACAACAAUAAUAACAGCAACAACUACGGCAACAGCAACAUCAACUGCAACAACCGCAAUAGCAACAACUACAGCAACAGCAACAACAGCAACAACAACAGCACCAGCACCAGCAACAACAACUACAGCAACAUCACCUGAAACAACAGCAAUAGCAACAACUACAGCAACAACAACAGCAACAAGAACAGCACCAGCAACAGCAACAACUACAGCAACAUCACCUGAAACAACAGCAGUAGCAACAACUACAGCAACAACAGCAACAAGAACAGCAACAGCAACAGCAACAACAACUACAGCAACAGCAACAACAACAACAGCAACAACAACAGCAACAACUGCAACAACAGCAAUAGCAACAACUACAGCAACAGCAACAACAACAGCAACAGUAACAACAACUAUAGCAACAGCAACAGCAACAAAUACAGUAACAGCAACAGCAACAGCAUCAGCAACAACAACAACCUCAUUAUCGUUUAGGCAGUACCACAAAGGGAUAGUGACAAGCCAUCUGAAUUCUAAAAUGGAUCAAUUGAUAUAAAAAAUACAAUGAUAUAGACCCAGAGGCUGCAGAAAAUGUCAGCAUGACCCGUAUUUCACAGAGUGCUUACUCUGCACCCAUGGCUAUGUCUAAGGACUUACUUUCUGCAACUGAAUCGUGCUCCUCCACCACUCCACAUGCAUCAGCCAAGAGAAUAGAUACUAUUCUUAUAAGUGAAGAGGACAUUGUACACCAAUCCUUAGAAUAGUUUUAGAAGCUAUUUGGCACGAGAAUAAGCCGAAAGUAGGAUACUUGAACUUUUUUUUUUGAAGUUAAAAAUGGGAUGGAUAAGAGCACGAAGCUUAUAUGCUUAAAGCACUUUCCCCCAAAGAAGAAUCUAUGAAAAGGAAUGAGAAGACAGAGCUCAGCUCCUCACAGAUGUGCCAGUUCAGCUUAUAAGACGAAGGGAUUUUUGAUGACUGAUAUGAGGCUUACAGAACACUUACUGCUUCUUGUGCGUUUGUGGAGGAUUUCUUUGGAACUUAUCUUGAAGCCUAAAAAUAUUUUGCAAGAAAAGCAAAGGGAACUUUCAAGGUCUUCAACAGUCGGGCUUGAGAGAUAUUGGCAUAUACAUAAUGCUUUAGGCAGAGCAUUUGAUAAGUGACAAUAAUUAUUCUUGUAGCCUUACAGAUAAUGAAGAAACUGAAACCACUGAUGUGCAGAUACUUAACAUUAAAUUUUCUUUCAAAAUUGACCUUAUCAAGCAUAGGUUUGGGGAUAUCAUGACCCUUCCCACAUGUUUCUUGGCGAGGUAUGAGGGGAGAUUCAUUUUGUCUGGAAAGGGAUUUGCUCUUAGUAAUAAACUGGCAUAUUUAAUAAUAAUAAUAACAAAAACCCCAUCAGGCUCAAGAAUAAAGAAUUGCUUUCCCUAGAGGGCACCACAGCAUCAUUUCCAUCGAUUUAUUAAUUUUACAAACAAAAGAAACGACGUAUCUAAGUCGGGGUCAUGAAAGUAAGGAUUAUUUUAUAAUUCUCUGCCUUUCCAUAUUUUUUCAAUUCUUUACAGAUGUUGCUCAGCAGAACUGUGUUAAUGUCUUGUACAUCUCACAUCUGCACUCUAAGCUUGUAACUUCUAAGACACAGAAGAUGAGAAAGAUCAAAACCAUCAAGGAGCAUAUCGAAAGGAACUCAAAUUACAUUUCUAUUUACGCUCUGAGCCAGUCAGAAUGAUAGUCCAAUAUUUAUAAUAUCUGAUUUUGCUAUCUGGCACCUGUAAAUUAACUAGGACUAUAUAUUAUAUUGAAACGUUCAGUGGAUGCCCAUGCAGGGUGUCUUAUAUUGCUGGAAAGGGGGUGCAUCUCAUAUGUGAAGUCGGAUGGCUCAGUUGGUAACCUUUGGGAGCUCUUGCUGCCUGGCUUUGACGCCUGGCUCAUAUUUUAGUUUUCUCUGUUGCUUUUUCGUGUUUGGUAGCUCAGAUCUUCAUCUAUGAAAUGUGUAGGUGUAAAAAUAGCAUCUACCUUCAAAACUGCACAGCUUGAGUUGUUAGAAAGUGUCAUGGUGCUGGCACGUAUUUAGUUGUAAGGAAAGGGCCUGACUCAUAAGUGUUGAUAUUAUUAUCAUUGUGAACCAGGCGCCUGUUCCUAAGGAGAUGCAUUGAACAGCUUUGGUGCAAUCCUUUAUGUGUAGAAAUUAUUUUGCUCAGAAGAUUUACAUUCUUUCAAUAAACUAAAAAAAAUAAGAAUAAGCCUCAGCAGGAAUCUCUCUUAGAUCAGCCUCUUUGAGGGUGUUGGAGGACAGAGUGGAUGAAAACAGAAAAAACAUUACAAGGAACUCAAGACCUUAAAGGAAUUAAAAACAUUAAAGAGCAUUGAGAAAUACAUUAAUCUGACACAUGACAGAGUGGCAGCAUUGUGUACCAGGAAAGGGACCAAGUGGAUAGCAUGAAUAAUAAUUAUGCAUUUUAAAGGCUUCAUGUCUUUUAGAAGAGAUGUCAACAAGGAGGAAUAGGUCACGCAACAUUCUAGAGCCUGUCUUAGGAAGAGGGAAAAGAGGGAAAUACAGUUGAAGGAAGAGGAGGAAAAAAAGAAAUAAAGAAUUUGAAUCCAUUUUCAUUCUUUUCCUAAGGGAAAAUUUGAAUAAAAUAUUUAAACAAAAGUAGUAAAAAUCAGCUAUUAUUUUUGCUAUGAAAUAUGUAAGAAUGAGAUGCAAUCUGCCUAGUCUGAAUUACCAAG